rnacentral:rRNA from 1 species
CCUACGGGGGGCAGCAGUCGAGAAUCAUUCACAAUGGGGGAAACCCUGAUGGUGCGACGCCGCGUGGGGGAAUGAAGGUCUUCGGAUUGUAAACCCCUGUCAUGUGGGAGCAAAUUAAAAAGAUAGUACCACAAGAGGAAGAGACGGCUAACUCUGUGCCAGCAGCCGCGGUACUACAGAGGUCUCAAGCGUUGUUCGGAAUCACUGGCCGUAAAGCGUUCGUAGGCUGUUUCGUAAGUCGUGUGUGAAAGGCGCGGGCUCAACCCGCGGACGGCACAUGAUACUGCGAGACUAGAGUAAUGGAGGGGGAACCGGAAUUCUCGGGGUAGCAGUGAAAUGCGUAGAUAUCGAGAGGAACACUCGUGGCGAAGGCGGGUUCCUGGACAUUAACUGACGCUGAGGCACGAAGGCCAGGGGAGCGAAAGGGAUUAGAUACCCGGGUAGUC